rnacentral:rRNA from 1 species
UACGAAGGGGGCUAGCGUUGCUCGGAAUCACUGGGCGUAAAGCGCACGUAGGCGGCUUCUUAAGUCAGGGGUGAAAUCCUGGAGCUCAACUCCAGAACUGCCUUUGAUACUGGCGAUCUUGAGUCCGGGAGAGGUGAGUGGAACUGCGAGUGUAGAGGUGAAAUUCGUAGAUAUUCGCAAGAACACCAGUGGCGAAGGCGGCUCACUGGCCCGAUACUGACGCUGAGGCACGAAAGCGUGGGGAGCAAACAGG